rnacentral:rRNA from 1 species
UACGAAGGGGGCUAGCGUUGCUCGGAAUCACUGGGCGUAAAGCGCACGUAGGCGGCUUUUUAAGUCAGGGGUGAAAUCCUGGAGCUCAACUCCAGAACUGCCUUUGAUACUGAGGAGCUUGAGUCCGGGAGAGGUGAGUGGAAUCGCGAGUGUAGAGGUGAAAUUCGUAGAUAUUCGCGAAGAACACCAGUGGCGAAGGC